rnacentral:rRNA from 1 species
AACGAACGCUGGCGGCAUGCCUAACACAUGCAAGUCGAACGAGACCUUCGGGUCUAGUGGCGCACGGGUGCGUAACGCGUGGGAACCUGCCUUUAGGUUCGGAAUAACUCAGAGAAAUUUGAGCUAAUACCGGAUAAUGUCUUCGGACCAAAGAUUUAUCGCCUUUAGAUGGGCCCGCGUUGGAUUAGCUAGUUGGUGGGGUAAAGCCUACCAAGGCGACGAUCCAUAGCUGGUCUGAGAGGAUGAUCAGCCACACUGGGACUGAGACACGGCCCAGACUCCUACGGGAGGCAGCAGUGGGGAAUAUUGGACAAUGGGCGAAAGCCUGUUCCAGCGAAUGCCGCGUGAGUGAUGAAGGCCUUAGGGUUGUAAAGCUCUUUACCCGAGAUGAUAAUGACAGUAUCGGGAGAAUAAGCUCCGGCUAACUCCGUGCCAGCAGCCGCGGUAAAGUGACUACUG